rnacentral:sRNA from 2 species
UAUGCAAUAAGGCCGAAUUUCCUGUCUAAGGAAUACGGGGGAACUAAUUCACGGGGCGAAUCCUAACCAAAGGAGGUGUGAUAUUUACAGAAGGAUGGGUGCCCUCUACCCAAGCCCGGCAACUAACCCCGGAGGCCAAAGGAGGGAGAAAAA